rnacentral:RNase_P_RNA from 1 species
GGCGGCUACCGGCGGCAACGCUGAGGAAAGUCCCCUCACCAUCUGGACCGCGGACACAUGCAAGUGUGUAGGGUGAGAAUCCUGGCUCUGGAACAGAAACGAUACCGCUGCGCAGAAAUGCGAUGAGCUCGAAAGAGCGAGGUCAUGCGUAUUGCGGAUGGAACGGCGAAUCCCCGCGGGUGCAAGCCGAAAUAGGACAGAUAGGCGUCAAGCAGCUGGCGGCCGAG